CGCGAGUAUUCAGAGUUUGAUCCUGGCUCAGAGCGAACGCUGGCGGCAGGCCUAACACAUGCAAGUCGAACGAACUCUUCGGAGUUAGUGGCGGACGGGUGAGUAACACGUGGGAACGUGCCUUUAGGUUCGGAAUAACUCAGGGAAACUUGUGCUAAUACCGAAUGUGCCCUUCGGGGGAAAGAUUUAUCGCCUUUAGAGCGGCCCGCGUCUGAUUAGCUAGUUGGUGGUGUAAUGGACCACCAAGGCGACGAUCAGUAGCUGGUCUGAGAGGAUGAUCAGCCACAUUGGGACUGAGACACGGCCCAA
rnacentral:rRNA from 1 species